rnacentral:misc_RNA from 1 species
AGGAUAAUCACCAAGUCCUGAUCGUGAGGUAUUAAGCAUCGUCCUCUCAGACCAAGGCUCAGUUUCGCGCUCCUGAACGGCAGGUGUAUUGUAAUUCUUUUCAAACAAGGGAAGAACGCUAUGAUCCACCAAGAACUUCCUAAGGUGCCCAAUCACCAAUUCUAAAGCUUUAAGAACCUUAAGUGCUUCACCUUGAAUUUCCACAAUUCUCUCAUCUGACGUCGCAUAGAUUGACAUCUCAUCAUUGGAAAGAACUCGAAUGGAGGCACCAGUGUUUUGCUGGAUAGGCUUGAUUAAAGACCCUUGUUUUCCUAUUAAGUUCACAGCUUGUGAUGAUGCUACGAGUAGUCUGAUGGAGCAGAAUGCAGCCCCAGCAACUCCAGAUAAGUUGACAUCAUCUUCACCUUCAGAGAGACCAGUGACACGUUUGAACACUCUUAUUACAGCUACCAUAGCAGGAGAUAAUGCUGCCUCGAGUUCUUCUUUACCUGAUAUUAGAACAACGCGAUCAGGAGAAGAAGGAGGUCCAUCAAGUACACGAAUCUUAGCCCCAGUUUCCUCACACAUCUUCUUAACAAGUUCUCCUUUACGCCCAAUAAUACUUCCAACUUUGAGCACCGGUACAAUCAAUCUGAACACGCAACUCCCAGGCCAUCCAGGCCAUUUCGGCUUCAAUAUCGAAACCUCUUGUCCGAUUUUCACCAAACCUCCGUCUGCUUCUUCCGGAUUCACUUGAGAAUCUUCAAAUUCAUGCGUUACAAGCGAACCAUUUUGGAUUUGUUCGAUGGAAGCCAUUGAUCGCCUCUGCUAAAAGAGUAAUUUAGGGUUUUAGGUUAAGUUUUUG